GGGUGUGAGAGUGAUCUGGCUGAAACAUCUGCCAUUCCAUUGAUUGCCAUUUUUUUUUUUUUUUUCUUCCGGCUGACUAGGCUAGGGUCUCCUUUCUUCCUUACCUCUCCACACACAUCUCUUCUCAGCUGCCUGCCCUAUCAAAGAAGGCAUGCUUCUCUAACAGGGUGGCCCAUUUCUUCAGAGAAUAUACUUAUUAUCAGGAAAAUAAGCCAAUUUUGACUCAAAAGGUCCCUAAAU
rnacentral:sRNA from 1 species